rnacentral:rRNA from 1 species
ACGAACGCUGGCGGCGUGCUUAACACAUGCCAGUCGAACGGAAAGGCCCUGCUUUUGUGGGGUGCUCGAGUGGCGAACGGGUGAGUAACACGUGAGUAACCUGCCCUUGACUUUGGGAUAACUUCAGGAAACUGGGGCUAAUACCGGAUAGGGGCUCCUGCUGCAUGGUGGGGGUUGGAAAGUUUCGGCGGUUGGGGAUGGACUCGCGGCUUAUCAGCUUGUUGGUGGGGUAGUGGCUUACCAAGGCUUUGACGGGUAGCCGGCCUGAGAGGGUGACCGGCCACAUUGGGACUGAGAUACGGCCCAGACUCCUACGGGAGGCAGCAGUGGGGAAUAUUGCACAAUGGGCGGAAGCCUGAUGCAGCAACGCCGCGUGCGGGAUGACGGCCUUCGGGUUGUAAACCGCUUUCGCCUGUGACGAAGCGUGAGUGACGGUAAUGGGUAAAGAAGCACCGGCUAACUACGUG